GACGGACGCUGGCGGCGUGCUUAACACAUGCAAGUCGAACGUGAUUUUUGUGGAAAUUCUUUCGGGAAUGGACAUGAAAUGAAAGUGGCGAACGGGUGAGUAACACGUGAGCAACCUACCUUACACAGGGGGAUAGCCGUUGGAAACGACGAUUAAUACCGCAUGAGACCACAGAAUCGCAUGAUAUAGGGGUCAAAGAUUUAUCGGUGUAAGAAGGGCUCGCGUCUGAUUAGCUAGUUGGAAGGGUAAAGGCCUACCAAGGCGACGAUCAGUAGCCGGUCUGAGAGGAUGAACGGCCACAUUGGAACUGAGACACGGUCCAAACUCCUACGGGAGGCAGCAGUGGGGAAUAUUGCACAAUGGGGGGAACCCUGAUGCAGCGACGCCGCGUGAGCGAAGAAGGUUUUCGAAUCGUAAAGCUCUGUCCUAUGAGAAGAUAAUGACGGUAUCAUAGGAGGAAGCCCCGGCUAAAUACGUG
rnacentral:rRNA from 1 species